rnacentral:rRNA from 1 species
GACAGAGGGGGCAAGCGUUGCUCGGAAUUACUGGGCGUAAAGGGCGCGUAGGCGGGCCGGCAAGUCGGUUGUGAAAUCCUCCGGCUCAACCGGAGAACGUCGAUCGAUACUGCCGUUCUUGAGGGUUGCAGAGGAGACUGGAAUUCCCGGUGUAGCGGUGAAAUGUGUAGAGAUCGGGAGGAACACCGGUGGCGAAGGCGGGUCUCUGGGCAAUUCCUGACGCUGAGGCGCGAAAGCGUGGGGAGCAAACGGG